AAUACCGUUGUGCACGAAAAUGCACACUCCGCACUCUAAUCAUCCAAAUGCACCAUAUUCAUUAACAACUGUCUUACGAGCACUCCCAUGCUCGCGAGUUCACAAAAUACCAACAUUUUGGUAUUUCAGCUUUUACCGAUUCAGUCUAAGGGAGGGUGUCGUUUACACACCUGGUUGAUAAUGAUUGAUGACGAUAUCUCCCACGCGAU
rnacentral:lncRNA from 1 species